rfam:Cavia porcellus supercont2_0 genomic scaffold, whole genome shotgun sequence.
GGGGAUUUAGCUCAGCGGCAUAAGCACCUGCCUUGCAAGCAGGCGGUCAUGAAUUUGAUCCCCG